GAUGAACGCUGGCGGCGUGCCUAAUACAUGCAAGUCGAGCGAACGGACGAGAAGCUUGCUUCUCUGAUGUUAGCGGCGGACGGGUGAGUAACACGUGGAUAACCUACCUAUAAGACUGGGAUAACUUCGGGAAACCGGAGCUAAUACCGGAUGAUAUUUUGAACCGCAUGGUUCAAAAGUGAAAGACGGUCUUGCUGUCACUUAUAGAUGGAUCCGCGCUGCAUUAGCUAGUUGGUAAGGUAACGGCUUACCAAGGCAACGAUGCAUAGCCGACCUGAGAGGGUGAUCGGCCACACUGGAACUGAGACACGGUCCAGACUCCUACGGGAGGCAGCAGUAGGGAAUCUUGCGCAAUGGGCGAAAGCCUGACGGAGCAACGCCGCGUGAGUGAUGAAGGUCUUCGGAUCGUAAAGCUCUGUUAUUAGGGAGGAAGAUAUGUGUAAUUACCUGUGCACAUCUUGACGGUACCUAAUCAGAAAGCCCCGGCUAACUACGUG
rnacentral:rRNA from 1 species